GGGGAAUAUUGCGCAAUGGGGGCAACCCUGACGCAGCCAUGCCGCGUGAAUGAAGAAGGCCUUCGGGUUGUAAAGUUCUUUCGGUAGCGAGGAAGGCAUUUAGUUUAAUAAACUAGGUGAUUGACGUUAACUACAGAAGAAGCACCGGCUAACUCCGUGCCAGCAGCCGCGGUAAUACGGAGGGUGCGAGCGUUAAUCGGAAUAACUGGGCGUAAAGGGCACGCAGACGGUGACUUAAGUGAGGUGUGAAAGCCCCGGGCUUAACCUGGGAAUUGCAUUUCAUACUGGGUCGCUAGAGUACUUUAGGGAGGGGUAGAAUUCCACGUGUAGCGGUGAAAUGCGUAGAGAUGUGGAGGAAUACCGAAGGCGAAGGCAGCCCCUUGGGAAUGUACUGACGCUCAUGUGCGAAAGCGUGGGGAGCAAACAGGAUUAGAUACCCUGGUAGUCCACGCUGUAAACGAUGAGUGCUAGGUGUUAGACCCUUUCCGGGGUUUAGUGCCGCAGCUAACGCAUUAAGCACUCCGCCUGGGGAGUACGACCGCAAGGUUG
rnacentral:rRNA from 1 species